rnacentral:rRNA from 1 species
GACGAACGCUGGCGGCGUGCUUAACACAUGCAAGUCGAACGAAGUGGCGAACGGGUGAGUAACGCGUAAUCAACCUGCCCUUCAGCGGGGGACAACAGUUGGAAACGACUGCUAAUACCGCAUACUGAAGGUGGGGAUUGCGUCGGAUUCGCUAGCUGGAGGGGUAACGGCCCACCAAGGCGAUGAUCAGUAGCCGGUGUGAGAGGAGGAACGGCCAAAUUGGGGAUGGGACACGGCCCAGGCUCCUACGGGGGGGAGCAGUGGGGAAGCUUCCGCAAUGGACAGAAGGCUGACGGAGCAAAGCCGCGGGAGUGAUGACGGCCUUCGGGUUGUAAAGCUCUGUUAAGCGGGACGCGGUACCGGAAUAGAAAGCCACGGCUAACUACGUGCCAGCAGCCGCGGUAAUUC